GACGAACGCUGGCGGCGUGCCUAAUACAUGCAAGUUGAGCGCUGAAGGCUGGUACUUGUACCAACUUGGUGAGCCGCGCACGGGUGUGUAACGCGUGUGGAAUCUGCUUUUGAUCGGGGUACAACAUUUAGAAACGAAUGCUUAUACGGCAUAAAAACUUUAAACACAAGUUUUAUGUGUGAGAGAUGCAAUUUCAUGACUCACAGAUGAUCCCGCGUUGUAUUAGCUAGGUGGUGAGGUAAAGGCUCACCGAGGCGGGGAUACAUAGCCGACCUGAGAGGGCGGUCGGCCAGCCUGGGACGGAGACCCGGCACAAACGCAUACGGGAGGCAGCAGUAGGGAAUCUUGGGCAAUGGACGAGAGUCUGACCGAGCAACGCCGCGUGAGGAAAGAAGGUUUUCGGAUCGUAGAACUCUGUUGGUAGAGAAGAACGUUGGUGAGAGUGGAAAGAUGCUCAAGUGACGGUAAUUGGCCAGAAAGCGACGGCUAACUACGUG
rnacentral:rRNA from 1 species